UCAAGUAUAGAUCAUUGUGUGCCAUAUGGGUUGGUUGUCCUCUUAACCAAGGAGUGUAGAGAUAUUGAUAUGGCAUGCAGGUGAAAUAUAGAAGUAUAUCAUCAUCGAAUAGUGAUCAAACUGUGGAGCACUCUACUAUCAAAAGUAGCUCAUGAAGGAUAUGGAUAUAAGAGUUUUUCAGAUCUAAGAUCACCAUGAUGACUUGCAAGCAACUCAUUGUAUUUUGAUACCGGACUAUCUAUAUUUCUAAUACAG
rnacentral:lncRNA from 1 species